rnacentral:rRNA from 1 species
GCCCGCUCAAGAAACUUAAAGGAAUUGACGGGACCCCGCACAAGCGGUGGAUCAUGUUGUUUAAUUCGAUGAUACGCGAAGAACCUUACCAGGUCUUGACAUCCCCCGCGAUGCUUUAGAGAUAAAGCGGAGGUAUUCGGGGAGACAGGUGGUGCAUGGUUGUCGUCAGCUCGUGUCGUGAGAUGUUGGGUUAAGUCCCGCAACGAGCGCAACCCCUAUUGCUAGUUACCAUCAUUAAGUUGGGGACUCUAGCGAGACUGCCAGUGAUAAACUGGAGGAAGGUGGGGAUGACGUCAAAUCAUCAUGGCCCUUACGGCCUGGGCUACACACGUGCUACAAUGGUCGGUACAAAGGGUUGCCAAGCCGCGAGGUGGAGCUAAUCCCAUAAAACCGAUCGUAGUCCGGAUCGCAGUCUGCAACUCGACUGCGUGAAGUCGGAAUCGCUAGUAAUCGUGAAUCAGAAUGUCACGGUGAAUACGUUCCCGGGCCUU